rnacentral:rRNA from 1 species
GCCCUUUCACCGGCGAGUGAACCGGCCGGAGCUCAAAUUUGAAAUCUGGGGCCCCCGGCCUCCGAGUUGUAAUUUGGAGAGGCUCCUUCGGGGGGGAGCGCUGGCCCAUGUUCCUUGGAACAGGACGUCGCAGAGGGUGAGAAUCCCGUGCCAGGCCGGCUGCCUCCUCCCGCGUGAAGGGCCUUCGACGAGUCGAGUUGUUUGGGAAUGCAGCUCCAAGUGGGUGGUAAAUUUCAUCUAAAGCUAAAUACCGGCGGGAGACCGAUAGCGCACAAGUAGAGUGAUCGAAAGAUGAAAAGCACUUUGAAAAUAGAGUCAAAAAGUACGUGAAAUUGUUGAAAGGGAAGCGCUUGAGACCAGACUCAGACCCAGGCAAACACCGCGCCCCCAGGGGCCGUGCAAUUGCCCGGUGCUGGGCCAGCAUCAGUUGGCGUGGCGGGACAAGGGCGCGGGAAAUGUGGCUCCCCUCGGGGAGUGUUAUCAGGCCCGCGCCGGAUGCCGCCGACGCCGACUGAGGACCGCGCCUCGGCUAGGAUGCUGGCUUAAUGGCCUUCAGCGACCCGUCUUGAAACACGGACCAAGGAGUCUAACAUCUAUGCGAGUGUUUGGGCGCCAAACCCUUGCGCGGAAUGAAAGUGAGCGGAGGUGGGAACCCCUCACCGGGCGCACCAUCGACCGAUCCUGAUGUCUUCGGAUGGAUUUGAGUAGGAGCAUAGCUGUUGGGACCCGAAAGAUGGUGAACUAUGCCUGAAUAGGGUGAAGCCAGAGGAAACUCUGGUGGAGGCUCGCAGCGGUUCUGACGUGCAAAUCGAUCGUCAAAUUUGGGUAUAGGGGCGAAAGACUAAUCGAACCAUCUAGUAGCUGGUUCCUGCCGAGUU